ACUUUGUGUAUUGGCCAUAAACAAUAGCCAAUUAAAGGGUUCCGCCUGUCAAUUAUCACACUAUAUUUCCGGUCAAAAUUACUAAAUGUUUAUAUAAUCAAAAUAAGUCGUGAAUAACAAUGUUUUUUAAUGCAAUUCAAGGU